GUCUCCGUGGCUUAGUCUGGAGAAUACCCGACUAUAAUGCGGUAGGAUUUGGGUUCGAGCCCCGAUGAAGGCA